GAUGAACGCUAGCGGCAGGCCUAACACAUGCAAGUCGAGGGGUAACAGAAAAGCUUGCUUUUGCUGACGACCGGCGCACGGGUGCGUAACGCGUAUGCAACCUACCUCAUACUGGAGGAUAGCCCCUGGAAACGGGGAUUAAUACUCCAUAGUAUCACAAUUUCGCAUGUUAUUGUGAUUAAAGUUUUUCGGUAUGAGAUGGGCAUGCGUCCCAUUAGCUUGUUGGUGAGGUAACGGCUCACCAAGGCAACGAUGGGUAGGGGGCCUGAGAGGGUGGUCCCCCACACUGGUACUGAGACACGGACCAGACUCCUACGGGAGGCGGCAGUGAGGAAUAUUGGUCAAUGGAGGAAACUCUGAACCAGCCAUGCCGCGUGAAGGAUGACGGCCCUAUGGGUUGUAAACUUCUUUUAUAGAGGAAGAAACUUGUCUACGUGUAGACAACUGACGGUACUCUACGAAUAAGGAUCGGCUAACUCCGUG
rnacentral:rRNA from 1 species